rnacentral:lncRNA from 1 species
ACCCCGUCUGGUGACCGGCGACGCUGGGCUGGGUUCGGCGCAGGGGGUCGGGAAGCACAAAGAAGUUAAGUACUUGCCCAAGUUCACACCAAGAUUUGAACCCAGGUAGUCUUACUUCAGAGACUACGUUUUUAUCCGUGGCCAUUGCCAACCUCAUGCUCAUUCAUUUGUAAUUUGCCUUGCUACCAGUGUUUCUCUACCAUAAAAAUAUUAUGAGCCUCCAGCCAAACCCAACCUGAAGCCACCCAGCAAGGAGCCUGGGAGAGAGAGUCUAUGGGACAAACAGAUAUUUGCCUGCCUUGAUCACUCACCAUACCUAGAAAAGUGGCUGGCACCUGCUAACAAUUGAAUAAAUGCAACUCGUGGAAUAAAUGAUGGCCAUGUCAUAAGCAGCCCUAAGGAGAGGCCCAGGUGGCAAGAAACUGAGGCUUCCAGUCCUCUGUACAUGAAUGAGCAUGGAUGGAGAUUCUCCAGCCUAGUCAGCCUUCAGGUGACUGAAGUCCUGGCAGACCUCCUAGCUGUAGUCUCUUGAGAGCUCUUGAGCCAGAGGCACCCAACUAAGCCACUCCUGGAUUUCUGAUACACAGAAACGGUGAGUUCAGUGUUUGUUGCUUUAAACUUCUACGUUUUAGGGUAAUUUGUUGAGGUAUGAUCAGGAAAAGGAAAAAUGUGCUCUUCUGAUAAUAUGGGGGAGGGGGCCAGGAAGGGUCUGGAAUGAUUUCAGCAUCUCGGAAGGAGAGCCCUGAAGAGUGCUGUGAGGAUGGGCCUCACCCCAAUUCUGUUCACCAAGUGGCCUUGAAAAUGUCUCACCUCCUGUUCGGGCCUCAGUUUCUGUACUUGUAAAUGGAGAUGGAAGGUUUAAUUCCAGGCUCCAUUCUAAAACCCUUACAUACAUGUAGCACUUUACAAUUUGCAAAAUGUUUUUAUAUGUUGUAGUCCGGACCUGGAAGUGACAAAGAAUAGUUUCCAAAACUUGAAAAAAGAGGAGAUAAGAUUGGCUUUGAGAAGUUAAACUUCAAAAUCAGCACAUAUGGAUUAGAACAGAGAGAUACAAAAUCAUCUUAAAGCAGUGUUUAAGUGUCCUUCUGACUUGCUCUAAACUGAACCAAAAAUACAACUGCUUUCUUCUUAUCAAUCAGUGGUGGGAAAUACCAUGAAUGCUCUUUUUUUAAUGUGUGAAAAUCUCUCAGAAGAGUUCCUAGAACAACAAUAAGUGUUUUGCUUAUAACCAAGAGAAACUUAGUAAACCAAUAAGUGGAUUAUUAAAAAGAUAUCAAGAUUUGAUAUUCAUAAAUAAAGGAGUAUAUUACCAGAGUUUAUUAAGAACUCCCACUUGGUGUCCUAAUAAGAACUCUGGCUGCUACGUACAGUGCUGGGCAGCAUUCAUAUUCCUUGGCUGGUGGCCCCUCCUCCAUCUUCAAAGCCAGUGAAAGCAGGCUGAGUCCUUUCCCUGUUGCCAUCUCUCUAGCUUUCUGCAGCCAGGAAUGAUUCUUUGCUUUUAAGGACUCAUGCGAAUGGAUUAGACCCACUUGAAUAAUCCAGUGUAAUCUUCCCAUCUCAAGGUCCUUACCUUAAUCACAUCUGCAAAGUCCCUUUUGCCGUGUAGGUUAACAUAUUCACAGGUUCUGGGGGUUAGAAUGGCUAUACACACACACACACACACAUAUGAAAUAGUGAAAUAUCUGAGUCUUUUUUCAUAGUUGCUUGUCACCAGUCUUACUUCUCUACUCCUUGCUCCAUACUUGUGACUUGAAUGGAAUGGCAUAUUUCUAUAUUUUCAUUUUUUCACUUGCUUCUGCCUUUAUUGAAGUGAUUAUAGCUGUUAGAUAGGCUGUGUUUAUAAGUAUUUAUGAAUAAACACCACCCCACCCCCAGCAGUAACUUAAAACUACACGGGCCUAAUUUCCCUCGUGUUUUAUCUCCCUUGUGGGGAGACCGAAAGGCUCUGCUCUGUGCUGUUCUUACUUGGGGACAACAGUGGAGGGAAAAUCAGCUCCUCAAUCUGCAAAGGCUGAGAAAAGGAAGGGAAUGUGGUGGAUUGUGCGCUCAUUCCUGAAACUUCACUUCCGGUCGCAUUUCAUCGACAAAGGCACAGCAUUUGGCCAAAUCUAAGUUCAACAUCUCACUGUAUAUUUAUGGAUAGACCUAGUGACUCCCUUUAAACAUACAUAAACAUCCUUUCAAAAGUCCACAUCCUUUAAAAUAGAACCAUAGGCUUUAUCGUGAGAAAUUGCAGUCCCCUGCUCCACUCUCUAGCAGCCACCACUUUAAAUUAUUUCAGUGAUUUCUUCCAGGAUUUACCUCCAAGUUUCUAAAUAACAUGUGUAUCAUUCUAUUUCCCGACUUUUCCAUUUUAGCCACCAAAUUUUUAAGGGUGGGGAAGGUUCAACUUAGCUCUCUUCCUCACACAUCAUGUUUACAACAUCAUGAUCCUGUAAACAUCACAUACAGCUUGAGCUAUGGUUUCACUUAUACUAUGGCUUCAUUGUCUUUCUCGUGCAUUGUCUUCUUAACAUGAAUUAAGUCCCCCCCCCCGUUUUUUUUACAUUUGCUUAGUUUUCUGUGCACCUAUUAUUAAUUUUCCCUGAGCUCUCUGACCAAGCUAUAAAACUUCUCUUAACACAUUCAGACACACUGAGCCCUUCAUUAGCUUCAUUCUGUUCUCAGAAACGUCCCUUGUUGGCCUUCCGUCCUCCUGAUCCAGCUUUGUGACAGGUUACUUUCUAAGUCUAUUUACACCCACAAUUCCUAUUCCUUUAAAGCUGCAGGUUUCUAAUCAAGAAGAGGGGAAAAAAAGACUAGAUGACUUCUGAAAUCCCUGCUCUCUGUUCUGGAACUGUGACACAGAGAUGAAUAUUAUGUGAAGCCCAAAUAAAUUCCAAGGAUUGGCUCUGCUUUGUGCCCCCUGGCUAAAGCUUCUCAUUUACCCCAGCUCGGCUACUGGGCCUGGGUCCUCACUGGUCCAUCUUAGGCUUUGGUCGCCUACUUUGACUUCUCCACUCCACAACUUUCAAGAUCUUGGUUGUCCUCUGACUUCUGUUAUCCUGGAACCAAUAACAAAAGAAGAAGAGUGAGGAGCAGCCUUAUUUUUAGGAAUUCCUGAAUUCCCAAGAUCCAGCCCUAGAAGCACUUCCAUAUUCUUGCUCCUCCUUUGUCCCAUUAGAAGCAAAAAUUAUUAGACUUUACUCAAAAAGUGGAAAAUCCAAGUCAUAGAGAAAAACAGUGUGAAAGUUAAUAUCUUGUUAUGCUCUUAUCUGGGAACUGAUUGAAUUUCUAAAAGCCCUUGAGGUGCUCCUGCUGGCAGCUGGGAUUGAAGGUUCAAAGCAGAGAAACUGAGCACGUGGGGGAAAUGCUUUUACUUUAUGAUUUACUUCUCACUCCUGACGAUGGGAUGCAAUGUGCAAGGGGGGAGUGGAAUGGGAAUAUAAAUAUUGCUAUAAUAAUGAGAAUGCUUUCAUACCUGGUGAGGCAGGGAGAAUGAUGAAAAUGGUUCUGAGACACUGAUGAAACCCAGAGUGGUGUGGUUCUGAGUGGAGAAUUUGUUAAGAAACCUGAGAAAUUUCUGCCUACUUUAGUCUACCAUCAAGGAAAUUAUCCCCCCUUAUUUUUUUUUUAAACUCAUUUUCUGUUCUGUGUAGCACAACUGGAGAUUAGAAUAGAAGAGAUGUUCCUGGGGCCUUCUCUGAAAACAAUAGCCCCACCCCAACGACAGGGAAAGGAUUGAUGCUAGGAAUUACCAACUCGUAAAUGGAAAUUAAUACUGUAAUUAGCAAGGUAGGAAAAUCUAUCUUAUUGUAAAUUGUGAUACUUAUAGAUUGUGAUAUCCCCCCUGGGAUCACCAGGUUAUUUAAAAGGAAUAAAUCAGGAACCACAUUCAAGCCUAUAAGGAUGUCAGAAAUAUUCAGGGCAGACAUACACCUAAAACAGAUAAUACUUUCACCAGGGUUGUAAAACAGUGGAUAAAGUCAGUUUUUUAAAAGAUACACAUUUGUGAUUUUUGACACUUCUUAGAUGGAAAAUGUUUUCAGAUUGGCUUUUGAAUAUCAACAUUGUUACCUAGACAGCUUUCUAGCAAGCAGACUGAAGACAUUGGAUAAAAAGAUUAGUCUCACAAAAUACGAGGAGAUGAAUAUUGCAUUUCAAAUAAAAGCAGAAGUCUCCAAGGAUGAAAUAUAAACAUUUGAUAAACCUGCAGCUCUGAUAAAAAUCUAUAUAAUGGCCUUAACAUUUCUAUAGCUGUCCAAAAUAUGGAGCCUGCCUUCACAUCCAUUAACUCAUUUGGUUCUCAAGUGUGUGUGCGUGUGUACAUAGUAUGGGAAGAGGUAAAUGAGAGGAAUGUUAAAAAAAAAAAAAUCUUCAUUUUACAGAUGAGGAAGUGGAGCCCAGAAAGAUUCAAGCUCACACUGUCUCCCAGGUAUUAACAGACUGUGUGUAAUUAAUGUUACAUGCUCCUGAAUCAGAAUUUAAAUGGAGCCCAAAUGGAGCCCAAAUGGAGAUGCAACACAGAGAUGGCAUUCUAGCCACAGUAGUGUUGUGAUUUCAAGUUUAUUAGUUCAAGAAUGAAUCAAUCCAACAAUGUAGGAAAAGUACUCACCUCCCCACCUUGAAAAUUGAUUAAGGAAUAGCAGAAUUUAGUAUUGUCCCCAUUAUUAUGCCCACAUUUGACAGAUUGGUUAGAGCUCUGAUAGUUAUAGUGCAUCAUAGCCUGCCUUGAAUUGGGGCUCUACAUGAGUACGUGUCUUCCUUUCUGAACCGCGAGAGCUCACAGACCAGCAACCAGAUCUUUAAUAUGUUGUUUCCAUCCAGUGUAUAUCCCAGUGCCAGUGCUUCAUAAACAUGUAGAGUGGAAUAAACCAUGAGACACUUUGCAAUACCACCAAUUGGGUCAUGAUGUAGGCGUGCAGACUGGAAGAUUGUUGCAUCCACUUGGAGGGUUGGAGGUGUCAGAUGCCUCCCUUUUAAACCAUAUGACCUGGUUCCUGUCCUUUUUAUGCAGUUUGGCCCCAUUUCUUGGGAUGAAAUCAGUUGUAGAUGACCUCCUACUUUCAAACAGAUUGAAAAUGUGCCUGCAAGUCUAGUAACAAACUCAUGUGCUAAAAGGGAUGGUUUCCAUGUUCCAAAACUUUAAAUCCCUUAUCAGGAACACUGGGCCCUGUGACAGGGUUGUGGGAACCCUGCAAACCCCAUGAGUGAUGACCCACGUAAUAUUAAUAACCCUCAUCCCCACUCUGACCCAAACCCUGGACUCCAUCCUCAGCCAGGCUCUCAUGGAAGGACAGGCCCAGUCAGGGAUUGAUGCACAGGCUUCAGGAGCAUCUGUGGAGAAAACCUCUGCAAACUUUAAAGAGAAAUGCAUCUUGAAUGAUUCCUAGUUUGUCUAUAAAGGGGAGAAAAGAUUAAAAUAAAUGUAUAUGUAAGUAUAAACAAAAGAUAGGAAUAAAUAGAACGAAAAAAGUUUUAAUGACUUUUUCUAGCUGGUUGGAUUAUGAUUUGGGGUUUUUCUUUUCUGUUUUUUUAAUUGGUUUAAGGUAUUCAUUGUUUAACAUCUAUAAAUACUUUUACAUUUAUUUUUAAUCUUCUUGUAAGACAUUAAAUACACUACUAUUAAGACUAAAAUCCUUUUUGGCUACCAUCCCCAAAUUCCCAGGGGUAAUCACAUUACUUUGGCAUGCAUCUUUCUGGAUUUUUUCUUAAUAUAUAUUUACACAUACAUAUGUAUGCACAUAUAAAACAGUAUUGUUUUGUUUCUACAUAGGUGGCAUCAUACAAUACAUAUUCUGCAAUUUUUGUUCCAUAUCAGUUGCAUAUAAAUGUACCUCAUUAAAAGAAAUACUGUUCCAUCAAAUGGAGAGACUACAGGUUUAGUCCCACUGAUCCUGCGCUAGAAUCAUGUAAGGAGUCUUAAAAUCAAACCAAUGCCCAGGCCCCAUCCCUGGGAACUGAUGCAACUUUUUUUGCUUUCCCUAUUGCCCAAGUGUUUUAAUUUGUUACUGUUUUAUAACAAUAUCACUCUGCGUAAUCUUGCACAUAUAUGUGGGUGGUAUUCUAGGAAGAUUUUUUUUUUAAGCACUUUACAUUGCUUAUUGCAAUACCAAUUUACACUCUUACCACAGUAUGUGAAAAUAUCCCAUACACUGCUCUACCUUGGAUAUUAUCUAAUAUAAAAAAUUUUAAACUUUUUGCUGCUUGGAUGGAUUAAAACAAAUAGUAUGUCAUUUAUUUUCAUUCUACUGAUAAUUUUUAAGAUUUAUAUCUUUUCUUAUGUACAGUGAGAGAUUAAGGGCACAAGUUACACAGGUUUGUAUCCCAGCUGAGUUAUUUGCCUUCAGUCUAGUUGUUAAUCUCUCUGUGCCUUAGUUUGCUCACUUGUAAAAUGAAGAGAGUAAUAGUGCCUAGUUCAGAGGCUUAUUGUAAGGAUGAAAUGAUUUAAUAUAGGUAAGGUUUUAGAACAGUAUCAUCACAGAGCAAGCAUACCACAGAUGUUAGUUACUUGUUUUGGUCUUCUGUGUUUUUUUUACUAUUGUUACUUAAUCAGAAAUAUUUGGAUAAACACACACAUACAAAUUGAAGACAUAUCAUGAUUUAAAUAAGUAGCUAAUAUUUGGGAUCCCAAAGUGAUUUAAAAAAAAAAAAUCUUGGAGUUCCCGUUGUGGCGCAGUGGUUAACGAAUCCGACUAGGAACCAUGAGGUUGCGGGUUUGAUCCCUGGCCUCGCUCAGUGGGUUAAGGAUCCAGCGUUGCUGUGAGCUGUGGUGUAGGUUGCAGACGCGGCUUGGAUCCUGCGUUGUUGUGGCUCUGGCGUAGGCCGGUGGCUGCAGCUCCGAUUGGACCCCUAGCCUGGGGACCUCCUAUGCCGCGGGAG